rnacentral:snoRNA from 1 species
GAAGAAUCUUUAAUACAUAUAGGAAAUGGUAUUCCUUGGUGCUGAGAGAAAAUCCUUGACUGCAUCCUUGCCCUGGGAUUGUACCAGUGGCAACUGUCACUCAAUGGGACAGAG